rnacentral:lncRNA from 1 species
AUGAAGAGGCAUUUGUUAAAACUUACUCUUUUUCCUCCAGUCCCUAGCUACACAAAAGUGUGUCCAUGUCUGAUUCUCCCCAGAUGGCAUUGCCUGCUGGCUGUAAAGCCCAGGGAGGCCAGGAAGGAGACUCACUCUAGGGAAUGCUCCACUCCGGGGCGGGCGCGGGGCGGGGCCGAGUGCAGAGACCGCCCGAUCUCCCGGCGCAGCCAACGAGCGGACCCGGAGGGCGGGCCCGCGCGGGCUGAACGGCGCGGGCUGUCACAGGCGCCCGACGCGCGCUGCAGGUGGCAACUUGGAGGUGCCGCGGCCACCGCUGCGGGAGGAGCCAGGAUCUGGCGGCCCCUUCUAGCCUUCGGGAGCCCUUUCCCGCCGCCAAGACCAAGACUGGACCCAGGAGAAUCCGAAGGAAAAAGCCGCUGCUCAGGGACUUGUAAGCAGCGCUACCUCUCUCUGCCCGUGCGCUACUUUUUUUUCCCCCUCCAAGGAAGGUUGUGUCUGGGGGCUGGGAAUAGGCUCCGAGAAGAGAGGGAGAGGAAGGCUUCUGAGACCCAGUUGACAGCAGCUUUGGAUAGAACCGAUUAAUAGUUGAUGUCUGUAAGACCAAGGUGCAGGAGGCUGAGAAUCACAGAAUUCCUCUACUAUGAACUUAGCAAAGUCUGGCUUUCCAAGGUGAGGUCUCGUGUGGAAAGCUUGUGACAGAUGAGCUGUCUUACAUGAAGCCUCA